CGCCCGGACCGCGGGGGGAGCAGGGGCGCGGGGGACCUGCCGCCGCUGCCGGCUCUUUGUCUGCUCGGGCAACUUGAACAAAAGGAGAAACUCGGAUGAACUCUCCAUCUCUCCGUCGCCUCUCCCGGGUUAACUCAUCUUCGGCAACUUUAUCCGAAGAGAUUUACUCAACUUUCUUCGAGCUCUCCCGCAGCUUAAAAGCAAAGAGCCUCGCCGUAGGUUUCUAAGGAAAUCUGGUUUCACAGUUUAGAGAAAAGGAGAAGGUCACAACAUGAUAGUUGGGAAAAUGGAAUGGUUGCCAGAACAUCAGUCUGUGAUGGAUGCCAUAUUGCAUUACCCUUCAAAUGGUGGAAUACAGUUUGGGAUUCCUCAGACCUGCUUAACGUGGUUCAAGAUGGAACUUACAGCUGCUUAACGUUUUAGCUGUUUGGAUCCAUGGUUAUGGUUAAUGGUUUCCUGGGUGAAGAGUCCCAUGCUGAAACUUGUGGAUAUUGUAGAACAUGCUGCUGAGACCCAUUUGGAUUAUACUGCCAUCUGACAUCAAGGUUUUGCAGCUGAUGAAAGGAGUUUACCAGAUCUUUUUUAUGUGGUUGCUGAAGCAUUGCCCUGGGACAGCAGUAAUGAUGGAUGGAGGAACAGAACACACUUCAGGAUUGAGUCACAGAGAAAUGUGAGGAUUUACACUUCUGAAGUAGGUGUGAAUGGGACUGAAGGAAUUACGUGGAGGAUUCUGAACUCCCCUUCUUCCUGCUCCGGGAAAGACUGAUGUCAUUUCCAGGACACUGGAGAUGGUGGAAGAACCAGAAAGCUACGCUGCUCUUCCACGGUGUGAACUACUGCUGAAAAUGAUAAAGAAGAAAAGGAAACCUGAUUUGUAGUUCUGAAUAAAGUGACAUUAAGAGAACACAUGCUUCCUUGUCACAUUACUUAAGAGAUUCUGACAAUGUAUCCAAAGGAACUCCAUCUUCAAGAAGGGAAAAAAAGAAAAUCAUGUCAAAUCUGAUAGUCUUCUGAAGUGUUCCAUUAAUUGUGGAUUUUUAUAAGAAUUCUUCAAACACAGAAAUAAUUAUUGUAACCAGCAAUGGCAGUAUUCAAGAUGCCAUAAAGAAGGAGAUUCAGAUGGAUCAUGCUUUAUCAGAUGUCCAAGCCAAUACUGCUGUCCAGUCCUUGUUCUCAACAACAUCCUCCUGUCCUUGUGAUGGGGGUUCUUGGGAGGACUGUGCAGAUCAAGCUUCACACUGCCUCUGCACUUCAGGCUCUCUGUGCUGAGGCAAUGAACACAGACCUAUACUUCACACUGGUUUAUCACAGGAAUUUUUCCAGUCCUUGCUAAACAGCUUCUGCCUGAGCAUCUCUGAGCUGCCAACUGGAGCAACUGGAAACCGAGGCAGACACAGCACAGAAGCAAAGCUGGCAGUAAGAUUAUUCUUCAUGCUAAAAUAAUACUCUGAAGUUUGUAUUUUGUCAGCUGAGAUUAUAGUUCAAUUUCUUGGAAGAAGUGAGAUGCUAUUUUGCUGAAGAUAUAUGGCCCUCCGUCCCCUGUUGUUAUAUAGGCAAAUUGUUGGUACUUAUCAUCCUCUUUCUGGCUGCUUCAUCUCCGCAGGUAAUUGUGCCUCUGAUAUUGCCUAGAUGUCUCAGCCUUGUUUGCGACCUGAGAGUGGAUUUUAGCUCUUCAGGCAAUUGACUUGUCCUGAAGAUGGCAGAUUUAUAGGAAUAUUGCAUACUGCCAAUAAAAAUAAACAAUUGACUGAUCAGUGGGGUUUUUACUCCCCCUCCCCCUUUCCUCUGAGAGAACCAAGAGCCAACCAUUUCUGGACAGCUUCCCCUCCCCUUGUGAAGCUCAGGGAAUUCAAGCAGCUCAUCUAAUCCCGUGGUGCAGAGGCUGUGUUGCAGCAGGCAGGAAGGUACGAAAGGCAACAUAUCCUCAACAGAAGAGUUUUGCUGGGAGGAGGACCUAGGACUACCCAAGGACCAACUCAGAAUCACUGAAUUAUGGGUCACUGGAGUAGUGGGCUGCCUUGUCUUCCCUGGACAAUGGAUGUAUUUUUUCCUACACCUUGGCUGACGUGCAGUAACUAACAUGAGGCAUAAAGCUGCACCAUUUGGAAGAAACAAGACUGUCUUUCCUCACAGCUACGAUGCUACACCGCUUUCGACAGAGCCUGCUUUUCCCUCCAUCUACCUGGGCGGCUGCUGCUCUUUCUGCUGCUGCUGGGGCUGCUGCAGUCUUGCUGCCUGCGCUUCGCCCUGGCUUGGCUGACUCGAAACUCUCUCGUCUGCACAUUGCUAAGGAAGAAGAGCGAUGGAGCCGCGUAUUUUUUUUUUUAUUGGUUCUGGAAGCCAAGGGUUGCAAUAUGUGAUGAUUUUGGAGUUUUCUGUGGCGGGGGGGAGGGAGGAGAAAGGAAGGGUGUUAAUCUAGGAUAGGGUGGGUGAAAGCUUAAAGAAAUAUUAUGUAAAGCAAUCCCGUGCUCGACAAGGGCAUCAGCAACAAGAAUCCAGCCUCUGCUGCUCCAGAGGAUUAACAUGAGGAAGUCACAGUGCUGCAGUCGGGUUUCACCUCAGUGUUGUGCUGGAGAUGGAUAAAUAAGGUAUCGGUUGCAUCUGCCUGUUAAGGCAAAGCCAAGGGAGAAGGAGAGAGCGAGCGAAUGCAAAUGCAAAGGAAGAAGAAAUGCUACGUGCCGUUUGUCUGAUUCUGUGGAUUCUCGCUGCAGAGAGGAUGGCUUGAUUAACAAAGCAGUGUGUGGACGGAUGGACUGUAAAUUGUAGCUUGAGCACUCCUGGUGCUGUCAGGGAGUGAACUGAUGAGUUUGGUGGCUGCAGGAAUAUCCCCAGGGAAAGCAGCAGCCUCGCACUCUGUGUGUGUAUCUGUGUAUGUACGUGCUUUUCUGUGUGUGUGAACAUGUAUAGAAAUGAAAGAAAGACAUUUCUGACCAAUUUACAGAGGACGUUUGUCAGUUUGCUGGGUCAGACUUGAUUGCAGCUUGUAUUUUCAGCUCUAGCUCUACACCCAUUUCCUGACUGAGGUGGCACUUUGUGAAAACAGAUGGUAGGCAGUAUUGUUUUAAAAAAUGUGAAAGCAGAUCCUUUCUGCUUAACACCUUGAAGCACUGAGUCUUCUGCACUGUGCUGAGAGAAACCGUGGGGUUUCGUUUUUCUCCAUCUUAAAAUCCCUAUAAACACAGCUGUAUUCAGUAUGGUGAAAAAUUCUACACUGUAAAUAGAAAUGUGAUCAAUCUAAUCAAAAUAAAUGUAUCCCAGAUGACUUCUAGACCAGCUGGCUACCACAGUCAUCAGAUGACUAAAUCCUCAACUGAGCAUUUGUAUUCAGUGUUAUACUUGCAUCUUUUUAUUUUUCCUUUUUUUUUUUCUUAGAUUUUCAAAAACAGCCUCGAAUUGAAAAGGAUUCUUCAUAUACUGAGAAAAGGCAAUGCUUGCAUUUAGCAAUUGAUUUCUGUGAAAUGUAGCUGGGUGUAUCUUUUAUUGUGGAAUCUGCUUGGGGUGGUUUUAGAGCAGGUAUCUCUGUGAUACUGGUCACAGUACAGACAUAUUUCAUUUGGCAGGUAGCUCAACUUGGCCAUAUCUGAACAAUGCAGAAGACAAGGGAAAACAAGCACUGCACUCAGCUAGCAGGGCUUGGCGUGGAUUUUAGCAGCUGCCUAAUGAGAAGGACAGGGUAUUUUCCUUUCCUUUUUUUUUCCCUUUUAUACAAAGCCAUAGACUGUAAUGUCAUACUAAAAUGUGUAUGAGGGGAUUUCCCAACAGUCAUGGUGAGCUACCCUGCAAGACACCCGUCUGGUCCUUCCACUGUUUGUUCCCCAGCCUACAAAGGCAGCCCUGUGUUGAAUCGUAUUUAGCCAGCUGUUGGAUAGCAUUCUUGUGCUGGGGGCUAAGGAGUCUCAUCACUCCCAAACUGUAGUUUUCUGUUUGCUUAAAGAAAAAUAACUUUGGCAAUACAGCAGGCUCUGCGAAGGAGUUUAUGCCACUCCUAUACCUUUCUGAAUCUGUUGUGUGCUUCUAACUCAGGCAGUUUAAAGCAAGCAAGGAGGGAGGAGGAGAGGCUCUGAACUCACAGCUUCAAAGCUGCAGAGACGAGCAAAAUGUCAGCAGCUUGUAAUUAGGAGCCCACGGUUACGUCAGUGACUGUAUCUCUCCAAGAAUUGCUAUGUGAUGUGUGCCACAAAGCAAAGGAAGACUCUCAUAACCUGGUUAACAAGCCUGGCUCAAACAAGAAAGAGCAAAAUGGAUUAAUGAAUCUGCUGUGUUCCUAAGUCAGAUGUGGAUGGAUUACAUGCACAAGGUUUGCUGAAUUCUGCAGCAGUGAAGACUGAAUUAUGGCAUGCAUUUGCCAAAAGCGCAAAUCCUUCAGGAAAAAAUGCAGAUGAGCAGUCUUUCCUUGAAAAUGUCUUUUCUAGCUCUCUCCUGUGCAGGCAGCUGCAUGAUAUUGAGGCAAGCUCUGAAGGAAGAGAUCGGCGAGCUGCACAAAGGUGUUUAAAAGGAAGGUUGCCAUUAAACACAAAGCAAGCCUGCUGAAAUUCUGUUCUGGCUGAAGCAUUACAGAUUGGAUACUGAAAUACCACCCCAGAGGAGAACGGCUGGGCUCUGGUGUGGUUUAUAUUAAGGCUUCUCUGGUUAAGAGCGAGGGGGGAGGGACAGGGCUUCCUGCAGCAUCUUGCAGCCAUGCAGAAGUCCCCAGGGCUGUGGGAAGCAGGAGGGAUGGAUGUGCUCUUAAAGACACAUGCCCAGAUCCUGCCAAGGGGCUUCCUGACCUCUGCAAUUAUUUUUAGGUCUGUGAAGGCAACUCGGCGGUGCUUAAGCAGUGAGAUUGCAGGGGGUGUUUAAUCUGCUGCGGCUGGCCCUUCUCCUUGUCAUGGCUGGGAGAGGUUCAUGGGGCUUUUAUCAAUACCCCUCCACCACAUCCAGCAUGCAUGUCUGUCACUGCUCCCAAAGACCAGUUACAGGAGGUCUGGUGUGUGUCUCUGCUCCCAGCAGAAGUCACUUGCAGUUCAGCUCUGUUGUAGUUGCUCUUUAAUUUACCAGGAUAGGUAGAUUGUAUUAUACAAACAGUGGGGGUGGGUGGUUUUUGGUUUGGUUUUGGUUUGGAUUAUUUUUUUUUUUGACUGUGAGCACAAAUUUGUAGGAGGAGGUGACUCCGUAUAUUAAACCAAUAGCUCUUUGAAUUGUGUGUAGUAUAAUUUAAAUAUACUUACUUUAAUUAAUAGAAGGUUACAAAAGCUGGCAUUGUCUGGGGCUGUUUAAUUUACAUCUUAGGUUUAGUCAAUGAGCAUAACCUGCCUGAUUAGAAUAGUGUAUUCUGCACAGCCAACAGGGUGGAAGGCAUUAUUUUGUUUGUGUUAGUUCAAACAGCUGGUCAUUAAUGCAGGCCCCAUCUCCAGAGUGAAGUGCUAGUGGACAUGAAUGGCUGCCUGAUUAAUGCUGCCCCUCGACGGGUCCUUCAUCCAGCAGCGAUGCUCGCAGCAGAAUAAUGCAGCGGGAUUUGAUUGCGCUCUAACAGGGUAGUAUGUCAUUGUGUCACCAAGCGAUCGAGGUUAUUAUGGGGUAGGGCAGACAGACGGGACAGUGGGGUUACUAGACCGUGGCAUUUUUAGAAAUGCAGGGCUGACCUACUUAGAGUUAUUCUUGCUGGCUGGCAGCUGCCUGGUGCGGGGCUCCCCCGGAUAGGCUGCGGCUGUUGCUAGGGGGAAUUAGCAUGAAUUUUUCCACAUACAGACUCAGUGAUUGAAUGAUAAAAGCUGACUGGAAUUAAAGAGAUUCGGUUCAGUAUUAUGCAGAUUUAUCUCCCUCAUUUUUUUUUUUUCUCUCUGUCAAAUGCAUAAAAAGGAGCAGAAUACAGUUUGUUUCCAUUUAUUUUUGACCUUUUUUAUUUUUUUCCAGGGGAGGGCAGAAGUGUUGCGAAUUUUUGGUCAUAAUUUAAUAUUUAGGCUGUUGAAAUGAUAUGAUAGUGAGCAUGCAUCUUUAAUGUAUGGAAGAUUAAAAUUCUGCCUCUCUGGAAGGGAAUGAAAUGAAUAUAUUUUGUGUUCUGGUCAGGCUGCCACCUCUUUUGAUUUGAAACCAUGUCAGAUUCUUUCAUCUGGAAAGGGGAAACAUAUACCAGGUUUUAUUGCAUAACAUUACUCUUAGCUAUUUUUAGCUAUCUGUACUUCAAAAAAAUUAGUCCUGUUUAUACUAGUGGAUGAAAUUAAUCCCCAGGCUAUGCCUUAUGUAUGUGGAGACAGAUGCCCAGGGUAGCUGCAGUGCUGUGUGUCAUGUUCAUCUGAAAAGGUGUUUACAUAGCUCAGGCUUAUCAGCAGUGCAUACCUAGCAGAGUGCUGAUGCUUGACAUGUAAUCACAUCAAUUAGAGAACUCCUCUGGAUUUCAGAGUAUUUUUCAGGCCCUGGUUUGAAGCUGGAUUCUCUAGAUGGUCUUUUAUUUAUCUACAUCUGCCUAAAACAGUGUUAUCUUUUCAGAGAACUCUGUGCUCCCUUAGGAAGCAAAUAAAAACAAUACUCAGUGAAGAAUCCUUUGAUGUAAUCAUGAAUAUUUCCUUUGUUAUUAUCACUAAUUAUAGAAGAUCUUUGUU